UACGUAGGUGGCAAGCGUUGUUCGGAUUUACUGGGCGUACAGGGAGCGUAGGCGGUUGGAUAAGCCCUCCGUGAAAUCUCCAGGCUUAACCUGGAAAGUGCAGAGGGGACUGUUCAGCUAGAGGAUGGGAGAGGAGCGCGGAAUUCCCGGUGUAGCGGUGAAAUGCGUAGAGAUCGGGAGGAAGGCCGGUGGCGAAGGCGGCGCUCUGGAACAUUUCUGACGCUGAGGCUCGAAAGCGUGGGGAGCAAACAGG
rnacentral:rRNA from 1 species